rnacentral:rRNA from 1 species
UACAGAGGUCCCGAGCGUUGUUCGGAUUUACUGGGCGUAAAGGGUGCGUAGGUGGUGAGGUAAGUCGGAUGUGAAAUCUCGGAGCUCAACUCCGAAACGGCAUUGGAAACUACCUUGCUAGAGGGUUGGAGGGGGGACUGGAAUUCUCGGUGUAGCAGUGAAAUGCGUAGAUAUCGAGAGGAACACCAGUGGCGAAGGCGAGUCCCUGGACAACACCUGACACUGAGGCACGAAAGCUAGGGGAGCAAACAGG